GGAUCACCUCCUUACCUGAAGAUACCUUCCGGCGCAGUGUCCACACAGAUUGUCUGAUAGAAGUAACGAGCAAAGUCACACCAGAGUCCCCAUCGUCUAGAGGCCCAGGACACUGCCCUUUCACGGCUGUAACAGGGGUUCGAAUCCCCUUGGGGACGCCAUACCGGUAACGAAGUGAAAGACGUUAUCAACCGUAUCUCAAAACUGAUUCCACCUUAACGGUGAGUCACGUUUGAGAUAUUUGCUCUUUAGUAAUCCGGAACAAGCUGAAAAUUGAAACGACGUGUCGUAUUCAUUCGCCGUAAUAAGAAUGAAGCUAACGAUACGUUCGAGUCUCUCAAUGCCUGCAACUGACAGACGUCUUUCGGGACGCUUGUGGGUUGUGAGGUUAAGCGACUAAGCGUACACGGUGGAUGCCCAGGCAGUCAGAGGCGAUGAAGGGCGUGCUAAUCUGCGAUAAGCGUCGGUAAGGUGAUAUGAACCGCAACAACCGACGAUACCCGAAUGGGGAAACCCAGUGCAAUCCGUUGCACUAUCAUGUCAUGAAUACAUAGUGGCAUGAGGCGAACCGGGGGAACUGAAACAUCUAAGUAC
rnacentral:misc_RNA from 1 species